rnacentral:rRNA from 1 species
AACUAACGCUGGCGGCGUGCCUAACACAUGCAAGUCGUACGAGAAAGUUGGCUUCGGCCGAUGAGUAAAGUGGCGCACGGGUGAGUAACGCGUGGAUAAUCUACCUUUUAGUUUGGAAUAACGUACCGAAAGGUGCGCUAAUACCGGAUAAUGCUGCACAACUACUGUUGUGUCGUCAAAGAAGGCUUCUGUUUACAUGCUUUUGCUGAAAGAUGAGUCCGCGUACCAUUAGCUAGUUGGUAGGGUAAUGGCCUACCAAGGCUACGAUGGUUAGCUGGUCUGAGAGGAUGAUCAGCCACACUGGAACUGAGACACGGUCCAGACUCCUACGGGAGGCAGCAGUGAGGAAUAUUGCGCAAUGGGGGCAACCCUGACGCAGCAACGCCGCGUGAGUGAGGAAGGUUUUCGGACCGUAAAGCUCUGUCGAGCGGGAAGAAAUGCAUGGUGGCUAAUAUCCAUCAUGCUUGACGGUACCGCUAAAGGAAGCACCGGCUAACUCCGUG